rnacentral:tRNA from 1 species
AGAGUCUGUUAACAGGUACGGCCUUCUAAGCCGUGGGUCACAGGUUCGAAUCCUGUAGGGCGUACCA